GCGAGGCGGAAAUUGGAGAGAGACCCGGCUGCGAGAGGCCCUGGGAGGGACAGAGGGCUGCGAACACACCCACACUUCACGCGCUUCUCACUGACAUCUUGUCAGAAUUCCUUUAAAAUCCUUUCGCUAUGGUGAAUGGGAGGCAGCUGGCCUCCCUCUGGCCUCUCUCCUUUCAUCUGUCCCUACAGAGAAUCCUCCCUAAAAGGCCAAAACGACCCAGUGUUCACUCUGUCUAGAACCCUCCAUAACUCCCCAUUUCUUUCUAGGUCAAGACCACACUGUGUUCCUGGGCCUGGGGAGUCCUCCGCCCUCCAGGCCCUGCCGGCUGCUUCGCUUCGGCUCCUGAAGAUCCCUUCCAUCAUCUGACCUCAAACAAGGGCCGGGACAGCCUCCCGACUCACUCUACACUUCCGGUCUCGGCGUCCACUUCCUCCUGUGUCUGACACGAAGGGGCCUGGGUGCCAGACGGACUUCCGGUUUGCCCGCUGCGGUCCUGCUCUCAGCCCCUGUUCACGCCCCGACUGAAUCAAGAGACAGACAUCCCGGCACCGGAGACGGAGCUCCUGUGUCCCUCCCACCAAGGCCACGCGCCCCUGGCCGAAGACACCAUCUUCUGACUUCCGGCAGGGGAAAGAACCACAUGCUCUGGGGAAAAUGUGGAAAAUGCAACAACAAAAAAAAAAAAGAGAGAGAGAGGAGAUGUAAGAGGACAAAUAAUCCAUUCACC